AGCGAAUUCUACCCAAUAGACAUGUUAUUUACAUUCUUUCCAUCACCAUGACAUUCCAAUUUCCGAACACACUACAUGCAACAAGGUUUCGGCAAAUUUUCAUUACUGAGUACAGAGCAUGUGGAUUACUGAACUUUCAUCCUAAAUACAAGGGAAAUUUACAUAUAGAGAACUUUACUCUGAUUUUGCAGGUUUUUCCAAACACUGUUCAAAAAUCAGAUUUUUUCCACACAAAAAUUUUGUUGGAGCGAAUUCUAAACAAUAGAUAUGUUAUUUACAUAGUUUCCAUCACCAUGACAUUCCAUGUUCCGAACAUGAUACAUGCAUGAUGGAUUUAACAAAUGUUCAUUUCUGAUGUGAGAAUGUGGAUUACCAAAUUUUCAACC